rnacentral:rRNA from 1 species
UACGUAGGGAGCAAGCGUUGUCCGGAAUCAUUGGGCGUAAAGCGCGCGUAGGCGGCCCCGUAAGUCCGCUGUGAAAGUCAAAGGCUCAACCUUUGAAAGCCGGUGGAUACUGUGGGGCUAGAGUCCGGAAGAGGCGAGUGGAAUUCCUGGUGUAGCGGUGGAAUGCGCAGAUAUCAGGAGGAACACCGAUGGCGAAGGCAGUGAUCUGGGCCGGUACUGACGCUGAGGAGCGAAAGCGUGGGUAGCAAACAGG